rnacentral:lncRNA from 1 species
GCAGGAAGGACCAGAAGGAAGGAGGAGGGGAGGCGAAAAAGAAAAAUAGAAAACCCACAGUGCAAGAACUAUUCGGUGACAGCAGGACAACCGCCUGGAACAAUUGGUUGUAUAGUUCUAAUUCUGGAUGGUAGAAAGGGAUUGAACUUGAAAUGCUUUGCAUUCUGGAAUACAGCUGCUUCCAGAUUAAUAAACAGCACCUCAUUGAAAGAUGAAGCCUCUAUAGAGUGUACGGGAGAACUUCCUCAUGGUCCUGAACUGUGGUACCCUUAGGUUAGAGAAAAAAACAACAAAAAUACAAAAAUACCCUUCACACCUGACUUCAAGACUGGUAAGACUUUGAGUUCUUUUGUAUUGAUUUCUGCAU